GGCUCGUCGGGCUCGUCGGGUGCGCGCGGGACGUGCGGGACGCAGUGGUGCGGUCGGACUCGUCGGGCGCGUCGGGUGCGUGCGGGACGUGCGAGGCGCCAAGGGACGCCGGGCAUAUGUCACCGACGGAGAAGGAGCUCGGCGUGUGUCGCCAAAGUCGUGAUGAAGCACGGUGCGACCGGCGUCAUUGCGUCAGGUUGGGUCCACAGGCUGGGUCACGCUCGUGACGACGACAACAACCGAAGCUGCAACAAUUCCGACGAUGGCGAAGUCAAAAUUAAGAGAAGAAUGUUAGGAAUGAUCUUGACAUGCAGGAUGGAGGCGGUCGUCUGGCCGCGUGAGUGGGCUGCCGAGACUUACGUCGUGCCUUUGGCCAGUUGGCGCAACGUUGGUGUGCUGGCCGAGAGCAGCGGCUGGGCCAUGCAUGUGCGAGUUGCAUGGAUCAGUUAGUUGGCGUCCUCGUGGAGGGAUCCAAGAAGUUAGUUGCAGGUGGUUAGUGCCAACGUAGUGGCCGGGAUACGUGCGUACGCGAGUUAGUGGUGUGCUAGGUCAUAGGCCUUGGGUGCUGGGCUAUAUAAGCCGAUGUAUUGUGUUUUGUUCGGUUUGAGAGGUGUGUAGCCAUGUAGCCAGUGCAAGGAAGAAAAGGAUUGAGACGUUCGUACGCCCGUGGCGGCAUUCGUGCGCCGGCCGGAAAAUCUUGUGUCUACCGUUUUUCUUCUUUCACCUCCAUUUGAAUGAGAGGAGAGGUAGCUAGAGGGCUGCGGUUCCAACAGCCUGAAGAGUGUUAACAGGUUGGGCUGCUACCACAACUCUCUCCUCCGUCAACAGGUCAAGAUGCUCCGAUACAAGUACCCACAUACUAAGAUCGUUGCCGCCGAAUUCUACAAACCUUUCCUUACAUUUUUAGAUAUGCCGGGAGAUUUUGGACUGAAUAGCAGCACAACCCUCCUUGCCUGUUGUGGUGCAGGAGGCCCCCCUUAUAACUACGACUUCAACGCAGGAUACGGCCUGCCGGGUGUGAAGGCAUGCGCAGAUCCAUCUCAGGCGCUUCAUUGGGAUGGUUUCUACCUCACGGAAUCCGCCUACAGAGCCAUUACUGAUGGAUGGCUCCAUGGCCCAUACGCGGAUCCACCGAUAUUGCACAUUGCACGCUAGUACACCUAUAGUGUGUCUCUUAUUCGCCUAAAACGGCAUGUAUACUAGAGUUAAAAAUUCAGAUCCGCCGGCAUGGGUAAAUUUCUGUCUAUGUAUGUAUCUGGCUUGAAGCAAUCAUCCACUAGCAGGGAAAUCCGUGUGUUUGUGUGGUUAAACUUAAUACAUAUUUUUCUACA